rnacentral:tRNA from 1 species
GGUCGAUUAGCUCAGUUGGUUAGAGCGUGGUGCUAAUAACGCCAAGGUCGCGGGUUCGACCCCCUCAUUGACCA